rnacentral:rRNA from 1 species
GUAGGGGGGGCAAGCGUUGUCCGGAUUUAUUGGGCGUAAAGGGCUCGUAGGGCGGCUUGGCAAGUCGGGUCGUGAAAUUCCAGGGCUCAACCCCGGAACGCCGAUCGAAACUGCCAUGGCUUGGGUCCGGUAGAGGAGUGUGGAAUUCCCGGUGUAGCGGUGAAAUGCGCAGAUAUCGGGAGGAACACCACUAGCGAAGGCAGCACUCUGGGCCGGUACCGACGCUGAGGAGCGAAAGCGUGGGGAGCGAACAGGAUUAGAUACCCUGGUAGUCCACGCCGUAAACGAUGGGCACUAGGUGUGGCGGAUCGAUUAACGUCCGCCGUACCGUAGCUAACGCAUUAAGUGCCCCGCCUGGGGAGUACGGUCGCAAGGCUA